rnacentral:rRNA from 1 species
AAUGGGCGAAAGCCUGACGGAGCAACGCCGCGUGAGGGAUGAAGGCCCUCGGGUUGUAAACCGCUGUCAGUUGGGAGGAAGGGUCCGUGAGGACUCUAGAGGAAGUCCGGGCUAAGUUCGUGCCAGCAGCCGCGGUAAUACGAAUGGGGCAAGCGUUGUUCGGAAUCACUGGGCUUAAAGCGUAUGUAGGCGGACUAGAAAGUCAGGCGUGAAAUCCCGAGGCUCAACCUCGGAACUGCGCUUGAAACUCCUAGUCUUGAAUCCGGGAGGGGUUAGUGGAAUUCCUAGUGUAGAGGUGAAAUUCGCAGAUAUUAGGAGGAACACCAGUGGCGAAGGCGACUGACUGGACCGGUAUUGACGCUGAGAUACGAAAGCGUGGGGAGCAAACAGGAUU